UAAGUGAACGAUUUCAGGAAGACCGGACUAAAACUCGAGUUAAUAUCCAUUCCAAGCUACGUCAUCGCACCAAUUAUUUUGGAUCAUUGCACUGAUUGUUGGCUUAUUGAAGUACCACUAUAUAUACUUAUGCCUAUUUGAAUGCCUGGGCACUUGCUGUUGGUUCAGAACCGUGUUAGGCUAAUGGCUUCCAUUCACUGGGCGCUGCUACUCUUUCUUGUACAACUUCCCAUACUGGCCACCUCCAGCGCCCACAGUGAUGGUAACCUCACACUGUGGUGCCAUCCAGACCAGGCUGCAGCGCUUCUCCAACUAAAGCAAUCCUUCUUUGCUGCCGCAACCACCGCGGCUCUCCUUCCGUCAUGGCAAAAUGGCACCAAUUGCUGUCUCUGGGAGGGCAUUAUCUGUGAUGCUUCUUCUGGUCUUGUGACAGUACUAGACCUCAGUGGGCAUGGCCUGGUGAGUCAUGGCUUGGACCCUGCGCUCUUCAGCCUCAAAUCCCUCCGACGUCUCGAUCUUAGCAUGAAUUCUUUAGGAGAUUACAGCUACAACAUCACCACUGCUGAGUUUGAGAGGCUCGCUCUGCUAACCCAUCUCAAUCUCUCCAAUGCGGACUUGUAUGGGCGGAUACCUAUUGGCAUGAGCAAACUCGUUAACCUUGUCUCCUUGGAUCUUUCAAGUCACACAGUUUCCGAUUAUGAUGAUCCUACCUCUGCAGCUGACAGUUUUAAUGAUCUGCAGUGGGAGCCCAAUUUUGAGAUCCUGGUAGCGAACCUCAACAAUAUAAGAGAGCUCUACCUUGAUGGAGUGCAGAUAAUGUCUAGCAGCGGUGAAGAUUGGGGCAAAGCUCUUGCAAAAUAUGUUCCUCAUCUUCAGGUACUUAGCUUGCAGGGAUGCAGGCUGAAUGGUCCUAUUCAUCAUUCCCUCUCAAGCCUCCAUUCUCUUGUUGCGAUCAACCUUGGAUCCAAUGAUGUUGGUCCGAUUCCAGAGUUCUUCGCAGAUUUUCCCAAUCUAAGUGAGCUUCAACUUUCGUAUAUGAAUCUUCAGGGGUGGUUCCCUGAAAGAUUUUUUCAACUCAAAAAUUUAAGGGUCCUAGAUUUGUCCUCAAACCCGAAUCUCUCGGGGCAUUUGCCAAACUUUCCCCAUGCAAGUUUUCUACAUACUUUGAGGCUAGAGGGGACUAACUUCUCCUAUUCUAAACCAAGUUCUUCUGGUGAUUUCAAGCUGUUGAGGGAGUUAACUCUUGACGGGAAAUUUCUAUCGAUGGAUUUUCUCUCUUCAUUCGGUGUACUUGGGUCUUUAUGCCGGUUGACAGUUGAUUUGAUGGACUCACAAAAUGGUUUGGGACCGAUUUUGUCAUGGAUGGAAGGCCUCAGGAACUUGAUGAGCUUGGAACUCUAUAGCUGCGACUUCUCUUGGAUAAUGCCUUCCUCCAUUAGGAACCUGAAGGCGUUGAGAAGCUUGAAGAUGUCCGAUUGCAACCUCCCUAGGCCCAUACUGUCUGAAAUUGGCAAUCUCAUUAAUUUGCAAAACUUGGAAAUAUCUGGUAUGUCCGACUGCAAAUUGCAUGGUUCAGUUACAUCCUCAAUAGGCAACCUCACAAAUUUAAGAAGGUUGUACAUGAAGAAUUGUGAUUAUUGUGGAGCAAUUCCAGCUGCAAUUGGCUAUCUUGGAAACUUAAGAAGAUUGGCGAUCUACAGUUGUGACUUUACUGGGGCAUUACCAUCUGCAGUUGGCAACCUCACUAAUUUGAAAAGCAUGGUUAUUGAAAGUAGUCAGCUUUCUGGGCCAAUACCUUAUGCAGUUGGGCAACUCAAGGAAUUGACACGUCUAACUAUUUUAGGGGGGAGCAUUUCUGGGAGGAUACCAAGUUCACUUCUCAAUUUAACUCGACUGGCAGAACUGGAUCUCUAUUAUAAUCAUGUGAGCGGUCAUAUUCCGACACCUCUUUUCUCUCUUCCAAAAUUACGCUACUUGAAUCUUGGUUGGAACCAAUUUUCUGGUCCUAUAGAAGAGUUUGACGCGGCAUCUUCAUGCUUACAGUUAGUAAUUUUGAGCGGAAAUGAACUGGCUGGGCAGUUUCCCAACUCGUUCUUUCAACUUACAGAUUUGGUUUGUCUAGAAAUCAAUGAGAACAACUUUGUAGGUUCACUGGAUCUUUCAUCUUUCUGGAGGUUAAGAAAGCUCUCUUCUUUGGAUCUUUCACACAAUAAGCUCUCUGUUACGAAUGAAGAAGGAACCACCUCUUUUUCCACCUAUCUCUCUGGACUUAAAACCUUAGGAGUUGCCUGUUGCAAUAUAACCAAAAUUCCUAGAAUUUUGACACGUCUUCAUGACAUGUCUUACCUGGACCUUUCUUGCAACAAAAUCACAGGGGAUAUACCGAAGUUGAUAUGGGAGAGGUGGAGCAGUAGCCUUUUACAUUUAAAUCUUUCACACAACAUGUUCAUUGGUAUGGAACUUACUUCACAUGUUCUUCCUUUCAGUUGUCCCUUGGAAGUUCUUGAUCUUAGUUCCAAUAGGCUUCAGGGACAUAUUCCUAUGCCAAACUCAUCAGCAAAUUAUUUGGAUUAUUCACAUAAUUAUUUUUCUUCUCUCCUUCCAAACUUCACUCUGUGUCUCAGUGAAACCAUGUAUCUCAGGAUGUCCAACAAUAGUAUAAAUGGGCAUUUACCAAAUUCAGUUUGCAAUUCCAGCAUGUUGGGUGUCCUUGACCUAUCAUAUAACAACUUCAGUGGGCCGAUUCCAUCCUGUCUGAUAGAAAAUGCUCGACUGAGCGUGUUAAACUUGCGGGAGAAUCAGUUUGAAGGGAUGUUGCCAUCCAAUAUCACAGCUGCCUGUACUUUUCAGACACUGGAUUUACAUGGCAAUAAGAUUGAAGGCCAACUUCAGAGGGCACUUUCUAACUGCAUUCACUUGGAGGUUCUUGAUGUUGGAAACAAUCUAAUAGUUGACACUUUCCCGUCUUGGCUGAGCGGGCUUCCGAAUCUUCGUGUCCUCGUCUUGAGAUCUAAUCAGUUCUACGGUUCCAUUGGUGGUCUUGUUCGGGAUCAUCAAUCCAAGGCGUACUACUCUAGUUUGCAGAUUAUUGAUCUAGCCUCAAACAAUUUCUACGGCAAUUUGAGUUCUGAAUGGUUUGGGCGGUUAACAUCAUUGAUGUCCAACUUAAACAGUUCAGGAGAUACUAUCGUUGCUCAAAACAUAUCAGCAGCUCCCAGGGGAUUCUAUCAAGAUUCUAUUGAGAUAACAUACAAAGGGUCAGUUGUUACAUUUGAAAGGAUCUUGACUACCUUUACAGCAAUUGACUUCUCAAACAAUAGGCUGGAAGGUACUAUUCCUGAAUCAGUUGGACAACUUAUUUCACUACAUGUGCUGAACAUGUCUCACAAUGCUUUCAAGGGGAAAAUUCCAGCGCAGCUUGGCCACCUGACUGAUCUGGAGUCGCUGGACCUUUCUUGCAACCAACUCUCAGGGGAGAUUCCGCAAGAACUAGCAGAUCUCACCUUCUUGGCCAUCCUAAAUUUUUCUGACAACCAGUUGGUGGGGAAGAUACCGCAGUCACGCCAGUUCCUCACAUUUGACAAAAAUUCAUUCGAUGGGAAUUUGGGACUGUGUGGACCGCCAUUCUCCAACCCCUGUGGCCUUUCACUUGCUCCUCCAGGCAUGGCACGCGUGGAGAAGUCAUCUGAUGUGGACGUCAUCCUGUUUCUCUUUGUCGGGCUGGGCUUCGGUGUUGGAUUUGCAGCUUCCAUUCUGAUGAGAUGGGGUCGAAUCAGCAAAUGGUUUAUUAAAUCUGCAAGAGCUUUGUAUGCGUGAUCUGAUCUGGGAGACUGUUCCCUGGUGCAAGCUUGCUGUCCUGGAAGAGAGCUUAUUCCUCUGCAGCAGUCGUUGCUUCCGAAGUACUGUACUAUUGCGACAUGAAUGCAAUCAGUCAUAUUGCAGAGUUGUUAUUCCUCUGUCCUUCGUAUCAUUGCAUAAAUGAAACCAACAUAGCCGAUGCAGAGUUGUGAAUUAUGUGCUUGUCGGAAGGCUUGCCAACCUGAAUGUUGUCCGGCGCACAGGCAGUGUGUGCUGGGGCAAUAGCAUGUGAUCCAACUACCUCGGGUUGCUGCUGCUCUCGAGUGGAAGCGAACUGUCGGCUGGAGGAUGGUGUGGAUGAUGAACAGUUUCACAAACCCUCUGCCUUGCGCUGACAGUCAUGUUGGACCAGCGACAGAAACUGCGCCAUGAGGGAGAACAAGAUGAAUCCACAUUUGCCUGCCGAAGCCGAAGCGCUCGAAAAUAGUGAUCGUUUCUAGUGUCCAGCAUGGGCUCCGUGAUAGCCACCUCUUUGUUUCGGAUUGGUGUCAUGUGUAGGAACCAGUGAACAACAUGUGUGGGAGAUUGGU